CAGCCGCCGCGGUAAUUCGGGGGGUGCGAGCGUUGUCCGGAAUCACUGGGCGUAAAGGGCGCGUAGGUGGUUUGAUAAGGGUGUGGUGAAAGUCCGGGGCUCAACCCCGGAUCUGCCGUGCCGACUGUCAGACUGGAGGGCUCGAGAGGCAGACGGAAUUCCGGGUGUAGCGGUGGAAUGCGUAGAGAUCCGGAAGAAGACCGGUGGCGAAGGCAGUCUGCUGGCGAGUACCUGACACUGAGGCGCGACAGCGUGGGGAGCAAACAGGAUUAGAUACCCUGGUAGUCCACGCCGUAAACGAUGGGCACUAGGCGCUUGGGGGAGCGACCCUCUGAGGGCCGUCGCUAACGCAUGAAGUGCCCCGCCUGGGGAGUACGGCCGCAAGGCUGAAACUCAAAUGAAUUGACGG
rnacentral:rRNA from 1 species